AAUCCAUGUAUCGGACAUUUUCGAUUUAAGUCUUUAAAUCAUUCUCAAGCUUCAUAUAGUGUUUCAUCCUCAAAUUGCCAAAAAGAUGUGAUCUCAUUUCUAAGCUU
rfam:Gossypium arboreum cultivar AKA8401 contig_54049_1, whole genome shotgun sequence.